AGGUGACAUUGGCACCGAAAGAAAAGGGUAAAUCGCCCAAGGAUCUCUGUUUUACGGACGAGGCGACAGAACUGAGCACUGUCUAAGUUCCUCCUGAAUGGCUUUCAAAAUUCCAACUACCAUCGAGGUUCUCUGCCUCAGUAGAGUUGGAUACCCAGAAGGGAUAUCUCAUCAGCAGCCUAAAGUACUCUGAGCAACAGUGGAUUGCAAAAAAAAAAAAAAUUAUUGCAGAGUAUCCUUGUAUGGUUAGCAGGAUACUAGACUAAGUUGACUUGGAAACUGAAUGGAUUGGUAUGGUCUAAAAAUCUAUUGCUUCACCUCUUCUGCUUGCAGUGAAGAGAGGCAAUUUUGUGGUGCUGAAUCUCUUGCCUUAAACUAAAAAGUUGCAAAAUA